GGAACGGUAAGCAUAACAGGUACUGCAGCGGAUUGCUAAUCCGUUCGUCGAUGGAUUUCGGCGUGUCGGUUCAACUCCGGCCCGUUCCACCA
rnacentral:tRNA from 1 species